UACGUAGGCAGCGAGCGUUGUUCGGAGUUACUGGGCGUAAAGGGUGUGUAGGCGGUUCUUUAAGUUUGGUGUGAAAUCUCCCGGCUCAACCGGGAGGGUGCGCCGAAUACUGAGGGACUUCGAGUGCGGGAGAGGAAAGUGGAAUUCCUGGUGUAGCGGUGAAAUGCGUAGAUAUUGGAAGGAACACCAGUGGCGAAGGCGACUAUCUGGACAGAUACUGACACUGAGACACGAAAGCGUGGGGAGCAAACAGG
rnacentral:rRNA from 1 species